AGAACGAACGCUGGCGGCAGGCUUAACACAUGCAAGUCGAACGCCCCGCAAGGGGAGUGGCAGACGGGUGAGUAACGCGUGGGAACAUACCCCUCGGUUCGGAAUAGCUCAGGGAAACUUGGAUUAAUACCGAAAUACGGCCGAGAGGCGAAAGAUUUAUCGCCGAGGGAUUGGCCCGCGUCCGAUUAGCUAGUUGGUGAGGUAAUGGCUCACAAAGGCGACGAUCGGUAGCUGGUCUGAGAGGAUGAUCAGCCACAUUGGGACUGAGACACGGCCCAAAACUCCUACGGGAGGCAGCAGUGGGGAAUAUUGGACAAUGGGCGAAAGCCUGAUCCAGCCAUGCCGCGUGAGUGAUGACGGCCUUAGGGUUGUAAAGCUCUUUCGGCGGGACGAUAAUGACGGUACCCGCAGAAGAAGCCCCGGCUAACUUCGCGCCAGCAGCCGC
rnacentral:rRNA from 1 species